rnacentral:rRNA from 1 species
GACGAACGCUGGCGGCGUGCUUAACACAUGCAAGUCGAACGGAAAGGCCCUGCUCUUGUUGGUCGCUCGAGUGGCGAACGGGGGUGUAAAACGUGAGUAACAUGUACCUGACUUUGGGGUAACUUCUCGGAACUCGGGCUCAUAUCGGAUAUGAUAUUUUGCAGCACAGUGGUGGAUGGAAAGUUUCGGCGGUUGGGGCUGGAUUCGCGGCUUAUCCGCUUGUUGGUGGAGUAGUGACUUACCAAGGUUUUGACGGAUAGCCGGCCUGGGAGGGGGACCGGCGUCCAUGGGACUGAGGUAGGGACCAGAAGCCAACGGGAGGCAGCAGUGGGGAAUAUUGCGGAAUAGGCGGAAGCGUGAUACAGAGACGCCGGGUGCGGGAUAACGGCUUUCGGGUGGUAAACCGAUUUGGCCGGAGACGAGGAGUGAGUGACGGUAAUGGGUAAGGAAGCACCGGCUAACUACGUG